GGUUUAAUCGUUUGCUUCAUAUCUGUGAAAGGUUGUCAGAACUUUUACUUUUAAAUAUUCUAGUUAUGCCGAGUUUGUUCGCUGACUACUGCAAAAUCAUUGGAAUCCAAAAAGCCAAAAAAAGUCUUGGCAAAUUAGGACCACUAACUUUUAUUAAUAAUCUUUUUAUUCCUGCUUUCUAUAAAGCGGCUCCUUUUACUAAUAUAGAUGCAUACAAUCCUGAUUCAAGGUCUAAUUAUUUCCAUGGCUGGAAGGGUUUCUCUGAUGGUUCUUACACAUUUUCUGAUUCCGCCGAUGGUCUAGUUAAUAUGUUCAUGCGCAAACAGGGGGGAAUGUGUUUCCAGCGAGGAUUUUUUCUGCAUCUGUUAUUCAAUGAAGUGGGCAUUGAGAAUUACAUGGGCACUGCACUUACCCAGCAGAAAGUUCAAGUGCCUCAUAGUCUUCACUUUUUCCCAAACUUGACGUCAGAAGGUUCCUUGCACAUGGCUGAAUUAGGCAACCGGUUCGCACCCAUUUUUCACUUGGUCGAUAUGAGUUUUGAGAAGGAAAGUGGUUUGAUAUCAACUCCAAUUGCACAGUCGAUGAUCAUACGCUGUCAAGUUCAUAGUGAAUCCAGGAAAGCGCAGUUCAAAUAUAUGUACCGUGCACUCGACCACCCUUGCAACGAACCUCAGCAGCUCAAACACUUCUACGAUUUCGACACAUCCAAAAUGCAUCCUCUAUCGGAAGAUGGGCAAUCGUUUCACCUUGACUUCACGGAACCUGGAACUCCCAACAAGCAUUAUGAAGUCAACGUACAGCAGAAGUUCGUGCUUCGAAAAUGGGUUCUUUUAGGAAUUGACUCAUCGGGCUGCUUUGUGGAUUACCUCAAUAAUCGCUACCGUCGUUAUGAUCAGAAUGGUGACAUUAAAACUGUUCAUUUUUCAAAACGGAAAGACUUGGUCGACCAAACGAUCAGAGACUUCCCGCAAUU